rnacentral:rRNA from 1 species
ACCGGAAAUUCCACUACCCUCUCCUAUACUCCAGUUCAGCAGUCUUAUCUGACCAACCGGUUAAGCCCAGGAAUUUCACAGAUAACUUACUAAACCACCUACGCACCCUUUACGCCCAGUAAUUCCGAUUAACGCUCGCACCCUCCGUAUUACCGCGGCUGCUGGCACGGAGUUAGCCGGUGCUUCUUCUCUGGGUAACGUCAGAACAGUCAGCUCUUAACCAACCAUUCCAUCCUCCCACCCGAAAGUGCUUUACAAGCCCUCAGGCCUUCUUCACACACGCGGCAUGUGCUGGAUCAGGGUUCCCCCCAUUGUCCAAUAUUGCCCCACUGCUGCCUGCCCGUAGGAGUCUGGGCCGUGUCUCAGUCCCAGUGUGGCUGAUCAUCCUCUCAGACCAGCUACCGAUCGUCGCCUUGGUAGGCCCUUACCCCACCAACUAGCUAAUCAGACGCAGGCUAAUCUCAAAGCGCCAGGCCUUACGGUCCCCAGCUUCACUCCUCAGAGCUUAUGCGGUAUUAGCCUGAGUUUCCCCAGGUUAUCCCCCUCUUUAAGGCAUAUUCCUACGCGUUACUCACCCGUUCGCCACUCGCCAUCAGUCCAGCAAGCUGGACCAUAUGGCC